UACGGAGGGGGCGAGCGUUAUUCGGAAUUAUUGGGCGUAAAGGGCGCGUAGGCGGCAUGAUGUGUCAAAGGUGAAAGCCCUCAGCUUAACUGAGGAAGUGCGCCCGAAACUGCAGAGCUUGAAUACCGGAGAGGAUGGCGGAAUUCCCCAAGUAGAGGUGAAAUUCGUAGAUAUGGGGAGGAACACCGGUGGCGAAGGCGGCCAUCUGGACGGCUAUUGACACUGAGACGCGAAAGCGUGGGGAGCAAACAGG
rnacentral:rRNA from 1 species